GAUACCUGAGCUUGCGCCUGUGUGUUCCACUGAUGGCUCCUCCUAGGCGAGGCCCAGGCACCAGCUGCACAGCGAUCCCAAUGUACAGUAUAUGGCAACCUUUUUAAGCACGCCAAGGCUUUGAUGAGUUGUAUUUCUAGCAACAUUGCUCAUUAAUUUUUUUUCAUUAACGAACAAAAUGAAAAUCACAAAUCAGAACAAGUAUCAAAUUGCUUCAGCAUAAAACUAAAUUACCUCCUAACAACUUUGGGUUGUCUGAUUUGAAUGAUAUCAUCAGUGAUGCAAAUUGAUUUCCUACAUAAAAAUGAGGAACUCUGGGGAGAACUUUCCCAUGCAAAACAUGUUCUCAUUUAUCUGUUGUUUAAAGCUUUAGCUACAUUGGUUGACUAGGAAUGAAUUUACUGAUGGGCCCAUUGUGUCUCAGUUUCAGCUGUAAGCAUCUCACAGAUCUCAGAAUUUGUAUCUUAUCGAGGCUUCCUUUUUUUUCCUGGAAAUAUUUCUGAAGUUAUUUGGCUAUAUCUGUGGCUCAUGUUUUUUUCAUGUCUGGGAAUCCAGUACUCUUUUAAGGGCUGCAUUCAUUUAUUUGUGAAAUCUAUAUGGGCUCUCUUGCAUGACUGAGUUCAUACUGGAAAAUUGAAAUCCUUUUUGUAACAUGUGUUAUUUGUUGUUUCUCUAAUCCAGUCGUUUUUAUAAUACCAACAUCAAGAAAUAUGGUAGAGCCAAGAUCAUUCUAAACACUGCCCCUAUUUCAUGUACAAAUAUAAUGCGUGCAUGUUUUCGGAACACUUAUACACUGAGAGUAUAUCCUGGCUUAAUUGGGUAAUGGUCAGAUUCAAUUCAGCAAUUAAGGAAAAAAACAACAUUCCCUGUGUCCUGUAAACUCACAAUUCCCCCAGGUAUUUAGCUACUACAAGACAAAAAUUAAUAAGACAUCAUUUCUAUCAUCUAAUAGUUCAAUUUCUAGUUGAAAAGGAAACCACCAAGAAAACCAAGAAACUAAUCUUAAUAUAUGUGUUAGGAUCAGUAUAUCAGCCUAAUAUAUGUGAGAGUGUAACAGUGGUGUCUAUAAUACAGGGAUCCACAAAAUACUAUGGGAGGAGAAUAUGGAGAUUCCCUUUUGGGGAAUGAAGUUUGUAAAGGCAAGGCAGAAUGGAUGGCCUUGGGAAAGGUUGGUGUUCAGGAAAAAGAAUUUCAGAAUGUAAUUGAGCAGACCCAUAUAACUAGAAUAGAAAAAAUGCCCAGGUAAGGAUAUCGGUAGAAAGAAGGAAGGGGCCAAGAUUUUGGAGGCAUUUAUAAAGUUAUCCUGGAUAUUUUGAACUUAAUUCUGUACACAGCCCUUAUAUGUUUUUUUGAGGAGAAAUGCUAUGAUUCUACCUGUGUUUUAGAAAAGUUAUUUUGCCAAAGUGGGUGAAACUGAGUUACAGGGGGGAAGAAACUAGAGGCAGAAAAAAAAGCAAUGUACAUUUGAAAUCCAUAGAUCACAAGGAAAAUGAGGAAAGUCCCUCAGGCACUGUUAGAAAAAUGGAAAGGGGGUCACGUGAGUUUUCAAAGGUAGAAUUAGAUAUUUUCUAUAAAGAUGAAAGGAUGCGGGCAAUGAAACCCACAUGUUGAGCUGUCAUUGUUGGGGAAGAGGGCUGUGUCAUUGACUGAAGCAGGAAGUCCAGAAGUAGUAGUGGUGGGUUUUGGGGAGAGGUGGUGAGUUAUGUAUCUGACAUCCUGAGCUAGAGGCCCUGGUGUAGCAUCCCUGUGGGCAAGGUCAAGGCAGAGCUACAAGAAAGCUCAGAGCUACGAUGAUGGCCAUAACCAAGGGAGCAGAUAAAAACACUAAGGAUAACUUGUAGGGGAGCUGGUGGAGUGGGGUCCAUUAGGGUAGGCAGCUGAAAACUGAACCUUGGAGGACAUAUACUAACAACAUUGGGCCAUGACUGUGAGAUAUUCUUCACUCUCAGCCCGUGGGAAGCAUGUGGUGUGUAAGAAGCUUUAGACUAUUAAUUCUGUCACUUCCAGACAUGCCUGACCGAUUCCUAAAGUUUGGGGUAAAAAUAUCUACAGGAGCAACCAGAGACAUCUGAGGCACGCAACUCAGGCAGUCAGUAAUAUUGAUUGAGCCCCAGUCACAAAGGCAGAUGCUUCACAGACAAAUAAGCCCUGUGAACCUCAGUGGAUCCCAUGACCUGCCUGAUCCUUGGAGUGGUCCAUAUGGAGGGACCCUCCACUAGGCAAAGGUUUGCUCGGGAAUGCAAGUAUCUCUUGUCACUGUACAACACUGGUGAAACCAAAAGGGUCCAUUGCUAACCUGGAAAAGCUGUAUCCUAGACUAUAAUCAUAAGGUUUGAAGAGGAAGGGGAUGUAGCUGAAACGGCUUGUCAGAGUUUCUAUAAGCAAUUAUCUCUUAACAGUGGGGUGCUGAUCUGGACAGAUGUGGUGGGUAUACUUACCUCAACCCCUAACACUCCUGUCCACAUCUUCUUGUAGCUGCUUAUUUAAUUUCCUCUCUCUCUCCAAAGAAACCUUUAAACUCAGUGAAGACAGGACCUGUGUAAUCUAGAAAAUGUAUCUUCAGAGAAGGGAGUUGCAGGGGAAUGCUUGACUGUCUAUUGGAAAUACUCGAAGAAAAUAUUAGAACAUAUCUCUGUUUUGAUGUCAAGUUUCUGUGUGUUUUAUGUGUGUGUUUUAUAAUGUGCCUGUUGGUAUAGUUUUAUAAAUGCUCAUGUUUUAAACACAUAAAUGUAUAAAUAUUGAGUUUGCUGCUCUAAGAUAUUUUUAUUCAUAAUAAUAUGGAUGUAAAAAGUAAUUUGGAGACUACUGGUCUCAAACGUAAUAAGCACUGAUAAAUUUGGAAGGAGAAAGUGGAGGGAGGGAAGGAGGGAAGAAAGAUAAGGAGAAAUAAAGGGAGGGAGGGACCACAGAGCCCUCUCGGGACAUCACUGAAGGAAAGGCAGUUAAGGAUGAUCUUAUGGGAGGGCAGAGGGCUGCUAGACUUUUUGCCUUGAGGCUCAUGUCAAAGAGGCAGGUGAUCACACGGUCAUUUCACACUAAUAAAAGCCUCCAGUGGCAUUUUCUGGCCUCAGCGUUUGGAGCCCGUGGAUGGCAGUGGUGACUGAAUCACAUCUUUCACCAAGCACAUGGGGCGGGUACCCUAAAAGUUAGCCCUCGUCGUCAGAGAGAUACUACUGCCACUUCCAUGUCUGGGGAAAAAUGCUACUUUAAUGAUACUUUAAGUCCUAUUUAGAGUAUUGUUAUUUUCUUCAGAAAAACGGCCCCUGAAGUAGUUAUAGGUAGAAACUCCAUACAGUUGGGAAGAGAGAGCAAUUCCAUUUAUGGAAAGUUGUUUAUAGUCAUUGAUGAGUUGAAAGAAGUUCAACUCCAAGAAGUUGAACUCAACCAAGUUGCCGAGGUUGGAAAGAAGGUCACUGUGAAUUCAAGGAGCUGAUGGGACCAGGCACCAGAGCAGCAUUGAAGUGUUGUUUUGAAUAGCCAAGAAUUGGAGCAGGGGCAGUACUGGAGAAAUGGACUGAUGCAGAAGGCAUUUGUGGGGAAAUAGCAGGAAUGAUACCGGGAGUCUGUAGACCAUGGUGAAAAUGAAGGUGCAUUGGUUAUAAAAUGUUGUGAGGUGAGGUUUACAUUGGAGAGUUUAGGUAGGAGGGAAGCCAUAUGGAGUUAGGAGCAAGGAGGACUCCCCACUUACACAUCCAGUGGGAGAAGGGAUGGUAGGGGGAAAAACACACUUGGGAGGGCUACAAAGGCCCAGUGUCCCCAGAAUAAAUCAGUUAAUGAUUGGAAACGUGCAAAUGGAAGCAACUUGCAGUGAUAGUUUAUAUCCACUCAGGAUGCAGACGUAACAUGUGGGCCUUCCAAGGCUGGUUACUGUGAAACUAAUUCACCCCUUCUUCAUUAGGACCAUGCUAAUUUGGUAGAGCCUUUUAAAAGUCAAUAUGGGGUCCUGUACGAACUCUCCCGCACCCCCCCUCCCCGGGGAAAAUGCUUGCCGGGGUUUGUCUGUUUUCACGUCUGGUGUGGCUGGACAUAACAAGAUGCAGUUUCUUGGAGGAAAUCGGAGGAAACUGAGGUUGGCAGAUGACCAGAGGAAUGCUUGCUACCCACAUAGCCUUCUGUUUUACUUGCAGCCGCCUUCUGGAAACAUAUCUUUGAUAGAAUUUGAAAACUUGGCUGCCGAUAGAGUUAAAUUGCUGAAAGCAGUUAAGAGUCUUGGUGUGAGCUAUGUGAAAGGAACCGAGCAGUACCAGAGAAAGCUGGAGGCUGAGCUUCGGAAGCUUAAGUUUUCCUACAGAGAAAACUUGGAAGAUGAAUAUGAACCCCGAAGAAGAGAUCACGUUUCUCACUUUAUUUUACACCUUGCUUACUGCCAGUCUGAAGAGCUUAGGCGCUGGUUCAUUCAACAAGAAAUGAAUCUCCUUCUAUUUCAAUUCAGUAUUUUACCCAAGGACAAAAUUCAGAGUUUCUUAAAGGAUAGCCAUUUGCAGUUGGAGGCUAUAAGUGAUGAAGAGAAGACUCUCCGAGAACAGGAUAUUGUGGCUUCAUCACACCGUUUAGGUGGGGUUCAGUUGCAGUCAGUUUAUGAGAGCCCUUUUGCUGAUGCUCUGGAUUUGUUCCGAGGAAGGAAAGUCUAUUUGGAAAAUGGCUUUGCUUAUGUACAACUCAAGGACAUUGCGGCGAUCAUCCUGAAUGAAUUUAAAACCAAACUGUCCAAGGUUUUGGCUUUAACAGCCAGGUCCUUGCCUGCUGUGCAGUCAGGUGAGAGACUCCAGCCACUGCUCAGCCACCUCAGUCAUUCGUACACUGGUCAAGACUACAGUACACAGACAAAUGUUGGGAAGGUUUCUUUAGAUCAGAUCGAUUCGCUUUCUACCAAAUCCUUCCCACCUUGCAUAGAUCAGCUACAUAAAGCCCUGCGGGAAAAUCACCAUCUUCGUCAUGGGGGCCUCACGCAGUACGGCCUCUUCCUGAAGGACAUUGGCCUAACCUUGGAACAGGCGUGGCAGCUCUGGAAGCAGACAUUUAUCACAGGAAAGAUGGAUCCAGAUAAAUCUGAUAAAGGCUACUCUUACAAUAUCUGUCAUAGCUUUGGAAAGGAAGGCAAGAGGACAGACUACACACUUUACAGUUGCCUGAAGAUUAUCCUAACCAAUCCACCAAGCCAAGGGGAUUAUCAUGGGUGCCCUUUCUGGCACAGUGAUCCUCAACUGCUGAGGCAGAAGAUGCAAGUGUACAAGAUCCCUCCCUCAGGGAUCAACCAGAUUUUGGAUUUAGUAAAAGGGACACAUUACCAGGUAGCCUGUCAGAAGUUCUUCAAGAUGACACAUAAUGUAGAUAGAUGAUUGUGGCUUUUCUUUGAGUCAUCCAAACCAGUUCUUUUUUGAGAGCCAUUGGAUCCUCAGUGGAGGUAAAGACAUCAAGAAGGAAUCCGUCCAACCAGAAAUGCCCCAACCGAGUGUCCAGAGAAGCAAGGAUGCGUCAUCUGCUCUGGCCUCACUCAACUCCUCUCUGGAAAUGGAUCUGGAGGGACUAGAGGAUUUACUUCAGUGAACAAUCCCUGGGCAGUUGGUAGCCCGUCUUCCUCACUAGCUUUUAUUUCCUACUUUACGAUUUUAUCUUUUUCUUUUUUGUCUGCCUUCUCCCUCCACCCAACCCCCCUUCAUCCAUCCACAUAUGCAUGAGCUUCUCGGGAAAGGCAGCCUUGCAGGUAAAAACAAAGACCUCCGGUAUAUUUUGCUUUGACAAAAGAGAAGAGGAAGAAUUUCUUUCGAAAUCUAACGCUUGAAUGGUGUGAUUUAAGUCCCGUUUUAGGAGAUAAAACAGCUUUCUGGAUUGGUUACUGUCCCCUAGAAACAGUAUAACUAAGAACAACUUUUAUUUUAAUGCUUAUCACUGUAAUGUUGACCCAGGACUUUUCUGGACCAUUUUUGUUAAUAAAUAUCAAAAUGUAAAAGAAAGAAAAAGUCAUUAUGAAAAGAGCAAUCGGGAAUGUACUAUGAUGCUACUAAUUCUACUGAGAGAUUUUAUUCAGACAUAUUUUUAAAGUGUUUUAUAUGCUCACGCUUAGCACCACUUUAUUCUCUAUAUGGGUAGCACUGUUAUACAGCCAUUACCAUGAUAGUCGAGAGGACUAAACUACGACAAACCAUGGAAUUGUUUAUUAGAGGAAGUUCAGUGAGUAUGGAAGAAUAUAAAAUCAUGUGUACCAUAAACAUGGAGCUAUGGAAAUAUUUGACAGUCAGUAGUGCUCAUCGUUAUGUCUGUGGGUGGCCAGGAUGCUUGGUGCAAACACUGCCUUUCCACUUCAUAGAUGUGUGACCUGUGGUCAAUCCCUUAACUUUGCUGGGUGCCUCAGUUUCCCCAUCUAUAAAAUGAUAAUAAUAGGGCCUGACUUGAUAAUUAAAUGAGUUAAUACAUAGGUAAUGCUCAACAAUACCUCAUGCUGACUGUAUAAAAUGGCAGUAUUAAGCAGGGAAAAUCUUUGUGUUAAGGUGAUAGAUUAUUAUUAACUUUACAUUUCUCCAAACUUGUUAUAUUGUCUUUUCUAAAAAAAAAAAAAAAAAAAAAA